AUACUCAACAUGGCAGGGGAGAUACCACAAUCACAAAGGUGGUUUUCCCAGGGCAGGGCUUAUGCAUUGCACUCCACAUGUGCUCACUUCUGCGAUUUCCCCAUAUGUGGAAAAUUGGUUUGCACAAUUUGUGUAGUGAGGAACUGCAUUAGUACCUUCCUUU
ensembl:snRNA U1 U1 spliceosomal RNA